rnacentral:rRNA from 1 species
AUUGAACGCUGGCGGCAGGCCUAAUACAUGCAAGUCGAGCGAGAGGCGGACGGGCGAGUAAUGUAUGAGGAUCUGCCCGAUAGAGGGGGAAAACGACGGUAAACGGUGGCUACUACCGCAUACUAUCGGUUGAACCCAUAUUGGAUUAGCUAGUAGGUGGGGUAAAGGCUCACCAAGGCGACGAUGUCUAGCUGGUCUGAGAGGAUGAUCAGCCACACUGGGACUGAGACACGGCCCAGACUCCUACGUGAGGCAGCAGUGGGGAAUAUUGCACAAUGGGCGAAAGUCUGACGCAGCAAUGCCGCGUGUAUGAAGAAGGCCUUAGGGUUGUAAAGCACUUUUGGCGGGGAGGCGGUACCCAACGAAGAAGCAACGGCUAACUACGUGCCAGCAGCCGCGGUAAUUC